UUUGUGUUUUGUCUUUUGUAUGAGUACAGUGGUAGAGACAGUGAAGAAGUGCCCUUGAUGAGGAAACCAUGGCAGCCAUAUAUACGUCAAGAAGAGAUUUCCAAAUGUGUCCAAAGAGGCUUUGAGGAUUUGACGUGGGGAAACUGAGACUUCUUGAAAGCAAAAAAGUUAUAUUUGUUUGAAUAUUGUAAUUUUUUGAACAUUGUAAAGUAUGUUCCUUGCUGAUUAUUAUUCAAAUGUUCAUGUGUUAUAGACAACAAAUAAAAGUUUUUCAAAUGUGA